rnacentral:tRNA from 1 species
UGUAGGAUGAUGAAACUGGCAGACAUGCCCUCCUGUCUCGGGGGUGGAGAGCUCAAUUUUUAAUUGAGAAAGGAUAAAGCGCGUCAAGAGCUCUGAUGUGGCCUAACAACUCCGUGGAGGUUCGAAUCCUUCUCCUACAG